rnacentral:rRNA from 1 species
GUGGGGAAUAUUGCACAAUGGGCGAAAGCCUGAUGCAGCAACGCCGCGUGAGCGAUGAAGGCCUUUGGGUCGUAAAGCUCUGUCCUUGGGGAAGAAAAAAAUGACGGUACCCUUGGAGGAAGCCCCGGCUAACUACGUGCCAGCAGCCGCGGUAAUACGUAGGGGGCAAGCGUUAUCCGGAAUUAUUGGGCGUAAAGAGUGCGUAGGUGGUUUUGUAAGCGCAGGGUGAAAGGCUAUGGCUCAACCAUAGUAAGCCUUGCGAACUGUGAGACUUGAGUGCAGGAGAGGAAAGUGGAAUUCCUAGUGUAGCGGUGAAAUGCGUAGAUAUUAGGAGGAACACCAGUGGCGAAGGCGACUUUCUGGACUGUAACUGACACUGAGGCACGAAAGCGUGGGGAGCAAACAGGAUUAGAAACCCUAGUAGUCC